UUUUAGGGAUAUCGGGCACGGGGUUCUCCUCCUCCGACUGUUCUCCUUCACAGUUCGUGAUCCUGCGUGCCGCACAGGCGGUAUCCCGCUUCGUGUGCAAAAAAGCUCGUC
rnacentral:sRNA from 1 species